GACACUAUAAAAGAAGAGCCUUGGAGUGCUGAGCGCCAGAGCUUGUGGACGGAGGGAGAGAAUGUCAGGGUGGAGACACAGGCUUCCUUGAGAAGAACCUUGUGUGACAGGUCGCAGCCCAAGCCAUGGGAUACGGGAGAACUUCGGGACACUCUGUUCAAUUUUAUUUUUAGCACAGCCAGUUCAGUUCGGCAGGAAGGUGUUGGGGACAGAAUGUCCACUGUAGCUGAGGGCACAGCAAGCCGGCCCGGCACAGGUGGCUCCCACAGCGAUCUCCUCCCGAGGACAACACCCUGCACCAAGCCAGCCUUCAGAAAGGUUCCCGCCCCUGGCUCCAGGCGGGACCUGAUCAGACAAGAGUCACAGUCGUGUGCCACCUGAACAAAGAGGCCCCAGCCUACCUCUGCCACCCUCUGCGACACACGCUGCCUUCGCAGACCACCUGCUCGUGGUUGGUUCUGGUGAGGCUGGCAGGCGCUAGCCAUGCACGAAGGGGUUAAGAGGGAAAUUUCAGCUGAAACACCAAGACAACAGAUAACAGACACCAAACUGGGUCCCCCUCUGCCUCCCAGCCAGAGAGCAGAGCUUUAAGGAGAUCACCUGGACAUGAACUUGAACCUCUCACAGUUUGGGGCCAGGCAGAGCAGGCUGGUGUCUGCCUGUAAAUGAGGAAUCUGAAGGGUGUGGAAGGGUGACAGGGAAGCUGGCCAGGGGUGACAGGCGGGGGGAGAGGUGCUGCACUGGCAAAGGGCCGCCCUUCCAGAGCUUGUCGGGGCAGAAUGUGUCUGUCCCCAGAGGCCUGCCCUGGGCACGGGCGCGGGGCAGCUGCGUGGGGUCCUGAGGCAGAGGUGGGCUGUCUGCCGGGACACGAGGGCCCGGGAAGCCAGACCACAGCUGCUUCUGCCCAGACUGAGGGAAGCACGGGAGAGAAUUCCUGGGGUGAAUGCGUGGGGUGGGAGGGAGAUUUCUGAAGAACCCCCAGAUCGCCCAGAAGAGAACACGGCAGCUCCGAGCACCUGGCAGCCCGGAGGGCACAAAGCUCGUUAUGACGGUGCCAGAGGCCCGAGAACUUUCCGACACCCCUGUCUCUCCCUCCGCACACCCUAACCCGUGUGAUUACACCUCAGUUGCUGCUGGGCGUGAGCAGGGCGGAGGGGAGCGAGGAAGAGAGAGGAAGCUGACCCCACGCAGAUGCUGCCCACGGCCAGCCCCUCUGGACAGGGAGGACUGAAGGGCCCCCGACACGUGAGAGUGGACGUUCCGACUUCUGGAUGUGAAAAUAACUACACAGCUCUCUAUUUCCUUAGUGAAGUCCUGCCAUUUUAUGUUGCCUCGGCUUCCAUUUUUAAUCUAGGUUUGACUUUCUCCUACCAGAAGCAGGCUCAACCCCCCUCAACACAGCCUCCUCCCAAGCGCUCAGUGUGGUCGAUCCAGACACCCGGUACAACCACCUCCUGGUGACCACCCCCCGGGGACAGCUGGACACAGCCUACCUGACUCGCCCACUGACCCCCACACCACUCAUGGACUGGGUGGCUUUGCCUCGAUGGCUCCACAGCACUCACGCCCACUUGCUGUGAAGCAAUCAUUAGAUCCCCCCACGAAACCUGCUUGGGUCAUGCCCUGGACCCCAGUAAAAGCUUCAGCCCCCAGGGCCCCCACCCCCACUCACUAGCUGGACACAUGUGUCCAUGACGGCUCCCUCUUCACACUGGCCCUGAGAGGCAUGCUGCCCUCUUCUCUCUGUCCUGUAAGUAAUUCCGUGUGUUUUGUUGAGCUGUCUCUUCUGUGUCUCACCUGACCAACACACUCAAACCUAAUUCUCCCUGGGGCUCUCCUGCAGAGUGACUAUCUUGGUAGGAGCAAACUGGACACGGGUCAGACAGGAGCCCCCAGGGUGUCUGCCAGCAUAAACAAGUAUCCUGGGAGAAGGUCGCCUGGUAACGGGUCAGACAGGCAUCAGGCUGUCCACUAGGAUAAAGAAGUACCCUGUGAAUGACACAUGGUAAGCGCCCACAGCCACCUUCCCUGGAGCCUGGUCAAGGCAGGACUAGAGUUUAUAGCUGCUCUCCUGAGAGGGACCCCACAGCCAGAUUAGAGGAAAAUGCAACAUCCUCAGCGUGACCAGGAAAGUCUUGAGACUUUUCUCUAAAUGCACGGGUCAGUGGGAGAGGAGAACCGAGCUGCUUUUGACGACACCUCAGGAACUGGCUUACUCAAUGUGUCAAGGUACAAAUGACACAUUUGUCAGGCACUGUUGAGUGUUGUGACAAGCCCUAUUCCAAGCACUUCACUUUCAUGAAAUCAUUUAACCCUUAUGACAACAAUAUAAUGGAGUAGCCCUCUGGUAAUGAUGAGGAAACUGAGGCACAGAGAGAUUAAGUAAUGCGUCCAAAAUUCACAUAGAUAGAAAGCAGCGGAGGCCGAGUUCCAAGCCUGAGCUGGAGCCCUCCUCCCUGGGUCCCCUUGGAGUUUUCCAGAUCCCACAGCAACUUGUCUUCUACGGCAUAUUUCAUGUCACGUUGUGAUUGGUGCUGAGGUCCCUAGUUAGACAGUGAUCUUCUCUGGGACAAGGGCUAGACCACGCUCAUUUUUGUGGAGUAGGACCAAACCUCAGAGCACCCAACUGAUUUAGUCAUACUUGUCCUUCUCUGCGGAAGAGAGCGUUGGCUCCACACUCUGGCUUCACCCUGACCCAACCCGGCCUUUGGGUUUGUGAGAGAGAGCUGGGAGCAGGGCGGGCGUUCAGACUGCCCCUGGGCAGUGUGAGUCGGAGGUGAGAGUGGGGGCCUUGAACUCCCACAGUUCCGGCUUUGUCUAUCACAUCUGCGUGGUUCAAGCGUGUCCUUCUAGCCCUUUUUGAUUAACUUAUAUUUACCUUUUUCUACUUUUAGGUGACCUUUGACAAAACCCACUCUUUGAAAUAGCCUAAGAGAGUUCAAGAGGUCAACAUCUUACACCAGGUAUUUUAUAAAAGGAGCCUUCUUUUCCACAUGUGGAGCCCAGCUGGGUGAAGGUAUUUUGUUAGAGAAGCCAGCCUUGAAAUACCCAUAUGACACAGUCAAUGCAAGCCCAGUCCUCAUUUUUUUCCCACUUCCUUACGAGAAUUUUUCAGACACUAUGAAACAGAGGGGGCCUUGAGAGGGGCCGAUGGCCUUUCUACCAGGAGUUCAGUGCAAAGUCUUAUCACUGCCAUCCUUGAAAAUAAGGCCAAGAAGAGAUAGUCUCUCAGUUUGCAGCUGGACAGCUGUGGCCUCAAGAACAAAUGUGUAUUGGCCAGGAAUCCCUAAUGAGGGCCAUAACUUGCAUCCUCAGAUAUCUCCAGUGCCGCGGGUCUUCAGCACAGCCUUGAAGCUAACUCCUUAAAAAGCCUCAGUCCGCAAAAACGGCACCAGAUUCAAAAUAAACCCACCCUUCCACAUUGCUGGUGCUGAGGAAUAAAUGCUUCAAGGUAGAAAAGCCAGCUAGGACCAACUACAGAGGAAGGAAUGAGACCUCAGACUUUCCCUGCCACUUGGGAAUAACAUUUUCUUCUCCCCUGCACAUUUUCAGGAAAUGCAGGACAGAGAGCUUACUCCGUAUAACUAGGCUAGCAAGGGGCUCUUUGCAAACACAAAUAACAGAGAAAUAUUAUUGUAAAUAGACACUUUGCUGACUCUUGUCAAAAUAGUUUUAAAUGUUUGAUACAGAGGAUAAGAAAUGGGACACUGUUUUCCAAUUCGGAAUAAUUUCAGUAAGAGGUUUAUGUCUACUUUUCCACUUAAUGUGGUUCUUCUUGGCACAACAUGGUACCUUUAUGAGGCAGAGAUUAAUAGGAAGCUACUGAGAAAGAUAUUUAUAAAUUAUGGCAGUCAUCCUAUGUCUGGGAGGGCUCCAGGUCACCCCAAGGAAAAUUGUCACCUACCCCCAUGCCCAGAAUCAUACCCGGAGCCUCCUUUCAGUCAUAAAAGUUAUACAGUAUAUAAGUUAUAUAAAGCCAGAAAGCAUCUGCCGCUCGGAGGGAAGGAGACGGUGGAACCAUCUGUGGCCGGUCAAACACAGGGCCCUGAAAAAUAAAUAUCCCUUGGUUUGCCUGGCAGUUCUCUAGAAACAAAUGGGCCAACUUUCAUGUUUCACAAUGGUGCCCUGCAGGAAGGUCAGGGAAGACUGAGCGAGGACUGGACUCCACAGCAGCACUGGUCAAGCUGGUGUGGGCAUAGCAGUCAUGCACGGGCUCCGUGAAGAACCUAGGCAGCCCAUGUGGUGCAUGUUGGCUGAGCUGGGCCCUGAACAAGGAAUGAGAAUGUCAUCUUUCAAAUAUCCACUGAAGCCCAGGCAGGAUUGGCACCAGCCGGGAACCGUCCCAGUGCAGGACCAAACCAUGCAAGAGGCGUCUCCAACAGCGACACCGUGUGGCAGCGAUGCGCAACUGCAGGAGCAGUCUGAUCAAGGCUCGCAUCCCACUUGGCCUGUGGAAGCACGACCGAGACCCUUUGGCUAAGUAAGUCCCUGAGCUCAUUAACCCUGUGCCCCAAGCUUGUACAGCAGCUCCCACCAGUUAUUAAUUCAUUCAUGUUACACCUCUCUCACAAUUGCUAUGUGUGCAAGCGAGUGAAUGUUUUUUAGCUGUAUUGAUGUAUUGGUUACUUGUGUCUCUGACUCUCUGGCCUCUCACUAAGAGUCAGGGAUACCCUUAACUGACCCCAUUUUUAGAGAGGGCCUUAUGGAAGUCUCUGUGGGUAGCAACAGUGUAUGCACUGCUGGAAAAGUACAGUUCCUUCCUGACUGGGUGACAAGGGACCCAAUGUCCCCAGGGACCAACUGGCUGCUGGAAUAUUAUCAUACCCUUCCUCUUCAGUCCAUGACCACCCACUCUGCCUGAGGUGGUGGAAAACUGGUACCCCUAACUCUGCCCUUUGCCCAGGGUUCUCCCUUUCUUCCCCCCGGUUUCUUCCCCCCAGGUCUCAGGAGGAUGGUGGUGCCAGUGCAGUAAGAGGCCCUCUGCCCUACUCGGGUGUGGUGAGUCUGAGCUCCCCAUGCAGAGAGCCAGGCUGCACCGGGGCUCACCCUGGGCUGUUCAAUCAGGUGUCAAUCAGACAAAUGGAAAGACAAAUGUUACAUACCUUUCUUCCCUAAAGUGGGAGAAAGUGCUGAAAAAGAGACCGAGUGGGCUCUUACAUACCUCUGGUAUAUAAGUACCUUUUAUAAGUACACGUCUCAGUCAUGCAGGGAGGCCACUGAAAGGUGAACUGUAAGUGGGGAGAAGAAAAUGGAUCCAUGGAAAUGAAGUGGAAGGUUAUGUGAAGUGUGAUGGAGGAAACACUCUACAGUUGGCCUCCCAGCCCCGGUCACAGACUAUCCGCUCCACCUCACUGCGUCUUACCUGUAUCUCAAAGGGCCUGUUGAUGCCAGGUGUGUUGGCUGUCUCAGAAGACCAUGAAUGAAUAUGAGAUUAUGCGGACCUCCCCAUAUGUCUUAGCCCCAUAAAGUAGGGUCUAAGGCAGAAGGCUCAUGUGCUUUGAUUCUGAUAAGGAAUGUAAUCCCAGGGAGCAGGGCGGGGAGAAGUGGGAAGACGUGGAAAAGGGAAGAAAACCAAUUCGAGGAGGCCAGUUCCUGAGCUGCCUGCCACUAGUAAGUGCAAAUGAUGGCUGCAUGUGUGGGCAUUCAUUCAAAAUAUAUUUAUUUAACACUUAAACCCCAGGUAUUGUGCAAAAAGCUAUGGAGUAGGUCCCUGACCUCACGGAGAAGUCGUGUGAGUGGUAUCUAAAGCCCGCCCGUGGGAGUGUGAUGGAAGGGAAGAAUUUAUCAACAGCUCUUGCCUCCAUUGGUCCAGGCUCACCCCAGAGGGCAUUAACUCCCCCACGCUUCCAGCAUGCACAUGUGUGGGCAUCAGGCAUAUCUACAGAGGUGUUGACAGGGGUGGCCUGAGUAGCGGGCGGUGAGAGGAGACCAGCAUGCACGUAGGCAAAGCACUGUUGCACCUGUGUGAAGUCCCCUGCAGCAGCCAGGACAGGAGACAGGUGAGGCCAAGAGGAUCUGAAACAGCACCCAUGGGAAGAGUUGGAAGAACAGGAUGGUAGCACCUGCCUGCAACUCUGCAUUGGGACUUCUAGGGCUAUGUGUCUCAGCGGCAUCCAGCACAAUGUAAAACAGUCAGAUUCCCCCAGAGACCAAAAUGACAAGCGCAUACUAAGUCUGGGCAGUGAAUGGGACUUCACAGUCCUCUGCAGUCUCCUGAAAACGUUCCAUGCUCUGAUUCAUAAUCCACAUCCUCCACCAUUUUGGAACCCAGCAAAAUCACAAUGCCCCCUCUUCCGGGGAGGCAGUUAAGAACGAGGCAUACCAGGCUUGCAGUCAGCCCAUGUUCAAGUCCCAGGUCUGCCACCUACUGGCUUUGCGACCUUCUGCAAGAUUUCUAAACUCCUUGAGCCUCAGCGUCUUCAUCUGUAAAAUGGGAAGUUGUGAUACCAAAUGAGAUCAUUUAAUGUAAUGUGUAGCUUGUUGUCUGGCACCCCAUAAUUUCUCCAUAAAUAGAUGCCAUUGUGAUA